rnacentral:rRNA from 1 species
GUCUAUGGCUAUGCUACCCUGAACAAGCACGAUCUCAUAUGAUUUCAGAAGCUAAGCAGAGUCAGGCCUAGUUAGUACUUGGAUGGGAGACCACCUAGGAAGAUCAGAUGCUUCAGGUG